rnacentral:lncRNA from 1 species
CAUGAAUUUAUGCAGUGUAGGAUACAUAAAAUUCAAGGCUUUGAAAGUUCUUUUAGAGCUCUCUUAAGGACUUUCUUUUACUCCUUUAAAGAUCAUAACAUCAAAAUCAAUUAAAAUGAAUUGGCUCAGGAUUGAAACACUAAGGUGCAAGCCAAUAAGAACUCAUAAGUAGAUUCCAAGAUAAAUUUUCGAUACUAAGACAGACGGAAUCCUUGUCAAUUAAUUUUCAGAAAUAAAUGAUUUACCGAUGAAUACAGAUGGAAAUCCAACUUUCAAAAGAUAUUCAAUGAAGCACAAAGUUUAAUACCACUUUACAUUUAGUAUUCUUUGUCUCAUCUUUAGAUGCGAAUUUAUACGAUUAAGUUCUAUAUGAUCUCUCCCUCUGAAAUUUUCUUUCUCCCCCUUAAUUAAUCAUUCCAUUUGAGAGUUUUAGAAU